UUAAAUUUUUAUUUAAGGUGAUAAAUUGAAAUUGAGAUAUAAGUUCAGGUGACAUUUCUACAAAAAUCUCUUACUUUAAUAUAUAAUUAAAAUUCCCAGAAAUAAGUGUUGGCAAAUGCCAAUUAAGCCGCUGACUUAUCUGGUUCCAGAUUUGUAAUUGUAAGUGUUUUUGGGGAUAUUGGUAAAGCCAACAAACAUAGAAAAAGGUAAUUGAAGAUUUGAGUCCCAAAUUUCAGUUAUGAUAAAACGGUUAUGCAAGAAAUUAACUGUUAAAGAUAAAUUUUGAUCAUUCCAGAUAACUACAAUUCCACCUGAGAAAUGUCAAAAUGAUAUAACCCAGUUAAAAAGAAAAAAGAAGAGAGGGAAGGAGGGAGGUAAAAAAAAAAAAAAAAAAAGAGCAGGCAGGGAUGUGAUGACCAAGUUAAAAGUUAAAAUUAUGUUGAGUAAUGAAGAAAUAACAGAGAUACAGAUCAGACAAAAUUAAUAAUAAAAUUAAAGUUUGAAGCGAUUGUAUUAUUAAUUAUUAUGCAUAUAUAUGAGCUAUACAGGCAAUUGGCCAGCUUGGAAUGGAAGCUGGGCUGUAGCUGUAGGGUUGACAAGGUGCUUCCGGGGGCUACGAAAGCUUCCAUGAUUCAUCCAUGUCUUCCUAUCCCAUGCCUGCAUCCCCUGCAACCCUCUGACCUUAUCUUCUUGUAAAAUUCUUACUGCUCUUUCUUCCAUGGCUGCGGAAGCAGAAGCUGAAUUGAUCCAAACUGAGGAGGAGGAGGCAAAAAUAACCAGCAACAACAUCAAAACAAUACGAUUAAGGGCCCUGAACUGCACCAUAUUCUGCUCUGUGAUAUGUGAGCUUUCAGUUUUUUGUGUGUUUGGUGUUUGCAGGGAAGGAUGGAUGGAGAGUGUGUGUGUUAUAUAAUGAAGAGGUGGAAAAAGGAAGGGUAACUUUGCUUUGGUUGGAAGUCAAGAAGAAAAUGAUGAAGCUUCUCACACUCAACAAACUCAAUGAAUGUAUGUAUAAUGUAUGUAUAGUGUGUGUGUGUGUGUGUUGAAAAUACUACUAGUAUUUGGGUGUGCUUAAUAAUUGUGGGGUUGGUUGGCGUGGGGUGGUUGUUAAAAUGAUUCUGUUAGUAGACUUGAAAGCCUUUAAGGUGCAUCACUUUCAUAAUAAGUUAGCGUAAGUGCUUUAGCAAAAGUAGUUGUCUCUAGAUGAGCAUGAGGUGAAUAAAUUAGUCUGCUUCUAUUGAUUGAUAUGUCCAGUCCCAGCACACAUUUGCUGAGUGAGUUCACCCAAUCAUAUAUGUAAAUAUCCAUUUUUUUUUUUCCUUUACAAAUAAAUUUAUUUAUUUUGGUGAAAAAAGGGGGCAAAGACCCCCGGAACAGCAGCUCCCUUACAAAUAUUUCAAUGAAAAUAAAAAGGGCUAAAACAUUUUACCCAGGAGGUUUGGGGCCAUUUUGAAAAUGGGUUACAAGGUUUUAAUUUUGUCAAUUUGCACCCGAACGUUUUAAAAUUCGACCAAAU
rnacentral:lncRNA from 1 species